AUGGGACGGGGAGAGGAGGGAGAAGGAAAACACUAUGGGACGGGGAGAGGGGGGAGAAGGAAAACACUUUUUCCUUUUCCCCGUCCCUUAGUGUUUUUUUCCUUCUCCCUGUCCCAAAAACAC